UGUGGCUCUGGAGCCUGUCCUGG
rnacentral:piRNA from 1 species